AGUUCUGAUGAACGCUAACCAGUAGACGGUAACCACAGUGAUUGGCAGAGCUUGGACGCCAAGUCUAACCUGCUCUGAGCUGAUGUGCACUGUUGGCUCCUGUUGUGCUGCACAGGCCUCCGGUAUUACAAACGGAACUCAAGAGCAUACACCACUCAUCUCUGCUAGUGGAUCACCUCUGAACGCUGUCUGCGCUGGGCUGAGGAUGCUCAUUACUGAAGUUCAAGGUUCUUACUGAUGUCACUGGAAAAUUUGUCUCUGCUCUGAGAAAUCACAGGGGUUAGUCUUUGUGACUCGUGAGGUGACUACACUAACACCUGGUGUUGAUAAGAUGGCAUGAAAACAGCCAGCUCUGGAAGUCGUGCGGAGUGAUGGCUCAGAAGUGAAUAGUGCUUGCUGCUCUUUCCAAGGACCCGAGAUGGGUUACCAGCACCCAUGUUCUCCAGAUCACAGUCUUCGCUAACUCCAGCUCCAGGGCUUCUAACCCCCUCUUCUGGCCUCCAUGGUACCUUUACUCAUGUGCCUGACAUCCUCCCACACAUACUUAAUGAAAAAUUAGAAUUAAAUCUUUAAUAAUAAUAAUAAAGAGUCCCGGAAGAGUUU
ensembl:lincRNA Gm27216 predicted gene 27216